UACAGAGGGGGCAAGCGUUGUUCGGAAUUACUGGGCGUAAAGGGCGCGUAGGCGGCCUGUUAAGUCGAACGUGAAAUCCCCGGGCUCAACCCGGGAACUGCGUCCGAUACUGGCAGGCUUGAAUUCGGGAGGAGGAUGCGGAAUUCCAGGUGUAGCGGUGAAAUGCGUAGAUAUCUGGAGGAACACCGGUGGCGAAGGCGGCAUCCUGGACCGGCAUUGACGCUGAGGCGCGAAAGCUAGGGGAGCAAACGGG
rnacentral:rRNA from 1 species